rnacentral:rRNA from 1 species
UACGUAGGGUGCAAGCGUUGUUCGGAAUUACUGGGCGUAAAGGGCUCGUAGGCGGCCAACUAAGUCAGACGUGAAAUCCCCAGGCUCAACCUGGGAACUGCGUCUGAUACUGGAUGGCUUGAAUUCGGGAGAGGGAUGCAGAAUUCCAGGUGUAGCGGUGAAAUGCGUAGAUAUCUGGAGGAAUACCGGUGGCGAAGGCGGCAUCCUGGACCGACAUUGACGCUGAGGAGCGAAAGCUAGGGGAGCAAACGGG